rnacentral:rRNA from 1 species
CGAGUGGCGGACGGGUGAGUAACGCGUAGGAAUUUGCCUUAAAGAGGGGGACAACCCGAGGAAACUCGGGCUAAUACCGCAUAAUGUUGAAGAACCAAAGGCUGGGGCAACCUGGCGCUUUAAGAGAAGCCUGCGUCUGAUUAGCUAGUUGGUGGGGUAAAGGCCUACCAAGGCGAUGAUCGGUAGCUGGUCUGAGAGGAUGAUCAGCCACACUGGGACUGAGACACGGCCCAGACUCCUACGGGAGGCAGCAGUGGGGAAUAUUGGACAAUGGGGGCAACCCUGAUCCAGCAAUGCCGCGUGUGUGAAGAAGGCCUUCGGGUUGUAAAGCACUUUAGGCUGGGAAGAAGGUAUGGGGUUUAAGAGACACCAUGCUUGACGGUACCGGCAGAAUAAGCACCGGCUAACUCUGUGCCAGCAGCCGCGGUAAUACAGAGGGUGCGAGCGUUAAUCGGAAUUACUGGGCGUAAAGGGCGCGUAGGUGGUGAGUUAAGGUUGUUGUGAAAUCCCUGGGCUUAACCUAGGAACUGCAACGAUGACUGAUUCGCUUGAGUAUUGUAGAGGGUAGUGGAAUUUCCGGUGUAGCGGUGAAAUGCGUAGAGAUCGGAAGGAACACCAGUGGCGAAGGCGGGCUACCUGGACAAAUACUGACACUGGGGCGCGAGAGCGUGGGGAGCAAACAGGAUUAGAUACCCCUGGUAGUCCCACACCCUAAACGAUGAAUACUAGAUGUUGG